rnacentral:lncRNA from 1 species
AUUUAUUUUUGGUGAUCGCUAGGGAUAAGGUAAGCUUUCAAGUUUUAUUAGUUUUAUAUAUCUAAUUUAGUUGCAUAGAACCUCUUGUUUGAAAUUGGUUAUACAUAUUCAUCUCAAAUUAAUUUAAGGGCAACACCCAUAACAAGAUAAAGUGGAGAUUUCAUCACCCUCUCUUGGCCCAAAAACAAUCAACCAGCAUCCUACAUUAACCCUAGCCUAACUAA